GAUGAAGAACGUAGCGAAAUGCGAUAAGUAAUGUGAAUUGCAGAGUUCAGUGAAUCAUCGAAUCUUUGAACGCACAUUGCGCCCGUUAGUAUUCUGACGGGCAUGCCUGUUCGAGCGUCAUUUCAACCCUCAAGCUCUGCUUGGUAUUGAGUCCAUGUCAGCAAUGGCAGGCUCCAAAAUCAGUGGCGGCGCCGCUGGGUCCUGAACGUAGUAAUAUCUCUCGUUACAGGUGCUCGGCGUGCUUCUGCCAAAACCCCAAUUUUUCUAUGGUUGACCUCGGAUCAGGUAGGGAUACCCGCUGAACUUAAGCAUAUCAAUAAGCGGAGGA
rnacentral:misc_RNA from 1 species